AUUGAACGCUGGCGGCAGGCCUAACACAUGCAAGUCGAGCGGAUGAAGGGAGCUUGCUCCUGGAUUCAGCGGCGGACGGGUGAGUAAGGCCUAGGAAUCUGCGUGGCAGUGGGGGAUAACGUCCGGAAACGGGCGCUAAUACCGCAUACGUCCAGAGGGAGAAAGUGGGGGAUCUUCGGACCUCACGCUAUUAGAUGAUCCUAGGUCGGAUUAGCUAGUUGGUGGGGUAAAGGCCUACCAAGGCGACGAUCCGUAACUGGUCUGAGAGGAUGAUCAGUCACACUGGAACUGAGACACGGUCCAGACUCCUACGGGAGGCAGCAGUGGGGAAUAUUGGACAAUGGGCGAAAGCCUGAUCCAGCCAUGCCGCGUGUGUGAAGAAGGUCUUCGGAUUGUAAAGCACUUUAAGUUGGGAGGAAGGGCAGUAAGUUAAUACCUUGCUGUUUUGACGUUACCAAAAGAAUAAGCACCGGCUAACUUCGUG
rnacentral:rRNA from 1 species